rnacentral:lncRNA from 1 species
UAAGGAUGUGGUAGCAGGGAAGGUCCAAGCUGAUAAGGAAGCAGGUCAGAAGCAGCAGGAUCGCAAAGAAAUUUUAAUGAUGACAGGACAGCAGCUGCAUUUCUGAGUAAAAGGGAUCCGUUGACGCCAGCUGAAGCAAGUGGUCCAAUCAACUGUGGAAGAGCAACGAAUGCAAGGAGAAUGGAUUCUCAUGGGAACGUAGCUGACUGGAAGGCAAUGGAACAUCAUCUAGAAGACCAAGGAGGACACAUCUUUGUGCUUGGGCUGUGCUUUGGAUCUUCCACAAGAAACUCACCCUAGCAGAUCUUACCAAUGCUUUAAACUCUAAAGCAUCAGGGCAGGGAAUGAAUUAAACAAUUAAAAUUCAAGCCAUCAAA